GUUAUAUAUGACGAGCAGACUAUCUCUACAUCGAAAGGCUGAGAGGAUGGUGUUAAAAUUUGUGGGGCUGGGCACAAUCCGCAUUGCUGGGUCAGUGCAUGUUUUGUACAAAACUUUUAAGGUCAAUUACGAAGAUGACUCUGAAAUGUAACCUUUAUUACAGACGCAAACAUUGACUGCACUAUGUCCUUGCUUUAAGUAGUUGGUAUAUUUUCCAUCAACAUUAUCAGACGAAGAAUGAAAGGUAGUAAGAUUCUGUAAACCGACCGUACUUAGAGUAACCAUGAUGGAUUCUAUGGAAUUCAUUGGGUAAAUUGAAUUGGGUAGGCGUAGGUCCUCCGAGAUUAGGGUUUCCAUGUACUUUCGAAGUGCAUUAUAUCUUAGGCUUUGUCCUCUUGAACAUUCUUAUGGCAGAGGCGAAUCUGUUGAGGAAGUAGCUGCCAUCAUUGGAAACAAGAAAGUAUGUUGUUAUUAUCUUGCUCUCUUGAGAUAACAUGUGUGCCUGAGUCUGCCCGAAGAAAAUUACAUCUUUCUCUAUCCAGCAGACUUUGGCAGAAUGGUUAAUCUUCGGAGCCUCAUGAUGAUCUGUGAAACAUGAGAGGCUUGAAAAACCUCUCCUCACACCCAACUUAAGCCCCGCUCUCAACUAGAACUCUGAGAAAAAAUAAUUUACAGCGGGGUCUGGAGUCGGCACCCACUCUCGGAUGCUAACUAAUUCACCCACCGAGAUCCCUGUACGCAUCCUCCAGUAUGCACAUGAAACAUGUGGUCCGACGAGCAUUGCUUCAAGGAUAGAGCAGCGACGCUGAGUCAGGGAGAAUGCGAGCGAUAGAAGAAACGCAUUAGACACUAGACUGAAAAGCAUGAAAAAUGUCCCAGUAGACAGGUCAACACACGCUCAUGGAUGGAGCAGGCAUUGGUUUGAGGCUGGGGUCUAAUGUAAUCUUAGCUUCAGCCGACACCCACUCCGUUAAGUGAGACAAAGUGGCAACGCCUCGCAGCCAAAGCAUUCACUGUAACAACAAAGGAGCUCGAAGUACCAACUCUAACAGACACACAGAAAUGCGUGGAUAGCCCUAAUGCAGGCAACGGUAGUCACAGAUCUGCACUUGAACAUGCACAACACGAGAAUAACGAACGGCGCAGGGCACCGGGACUCGAAGUACAACAAGACUGCCUUCAGCUGAGGGAGUUGCUUAUCUUGUAUUACUCGAAAUUGCAAAUUAGGGUUCCAGGUUGGAAAAUUGAUCUUCCUCACCAACUCAAGGCUUAAUAUGUCCUUUGCAAUUAACUUAAUUAAUUGCUUUAUUCAUUUUCCAUUAGACUCACAUCUAGUAGCAACAAAACAUAUUCUUUGCUAUCUUGCAUGUAGCAUGGAUAUUGGCAUCUUUUUUUUGCCAAGGAUUCACUUGUACAACUUGCAUAUUAUAGAGAUGCAGAAUGGAGUGCAUGUUGGGAAACAAGAAGAUCCACUGGAGCAUAUAUUGUGACUCUUGGUGGAAGACAAAUUUCUUGGCCAAGUAAAAGACAAUCCACAGUUUUAUAGUUAGAGUUUGGUAUUCUUUCUGAAGAAGCAGCUAUAGUAUUUCAUCUCAAAUAAGUCUUUCAAAAGUUGAUGCGUCAAGAUCAUGGGGAUGGAAAUUUGCAUUGUAAUGAAACUAAGAUAAUCUCAAACUUCGAGAUAGCUCACAUUCCAAAAUUUGAAGAUUUGUAGUUAUAUUGCAUUGAAGCUUGCAAAAAUCCCAUCUUUCAUGCUUGUUUAAAACACUUUGAGGGUCAACACCACUUUGUACAUGAAAGGAUUUUAGCAAAAGAUGUAACAAUACAUUAUGAGCCAACAAAAACUCCAAUAGCAAAUAUUCUAAUAAAAGCACUACUUAGACUAUCUUUAACCAAUUGUAAUCUUAAGUAAUCUAUAUAGUCAUUAAGCUAAAUAUAAAAAAACUCUUACUUAUCUUUUCAAGAGCUUCUUAGUUAAGAAUAGAUUACGUUGAGCCUAAAUAUAAAUUCAUGGCAUACAUUGUGUAUUGUAUUGCAUUGUGGAAUGUACAAGAUUUAACACUUAUAAAUAUAUAAAAAUACAAACUUCUUUCUAAAUAGGGACAUACACACAUAUGUAUAUACACACUUCAUUUAUACACACACACCAGCUUGUGUUUUUAUUCUAAUUUUAUUUAUUAUAAUAAUUUUUUAAAUAUUGCUUAUUGAGUGAAUACAUUGUAAUAGGCUUGAUUUGAUUAUUUUCCUUAGCAUCUUCUAUUAAAUGACCAAACCUUUUGAUCUACUUUUGCCAUGUAUCUAUACUCAUUUAGUAUAAUUGACUAUUUAUGUGGAAUGUUAUUUUUAUAUCACUUUAUGUUAUCUACUGAAAAUAACCACACCCGACUGCAAAGAUGUUAUUCCUCUGAGGAGCCUAUACCUACCGGAGAUGAUAUUUGCCAAAGUACCUCAACGGCACGGUAUCAAAGGAGUUGUAAGUGAAGAGAUAAGGCACUAUUAUAAGACCAUUAAAGUUUAUAAGAGAUGCAAUAAGAUAAAGGAGUACUCAAAGAUCAAAGAAAACAUAUAGCAAGUAGUCAAAAAGUAGUACAAUACGUAGUAGGUCUUCUGUAGUAGCACCUCAAGUCAAGCUAGUGUUGGACUGGAGGCUAUAUAAUUCUAACUGAGCAGUAAAUUAUUUUUUAUCUUUAACUAAUUAUCUUGUGUAUCAAGUCCAAUCUUGCAAGGUCGUGUCCCCUCCUUGCCAAUAACCUUGAAAGUCCAAGUAACACUUUACUAUGAAUAUUAUUUAUCUUCUCCUUGUACUUGUCUAAAUAAAAAUAACCAAUUGUUUUUUUGAUUAUACAAAUUUUUUAAUUGAUAUAAGGCUUUUUUAUUUAAACAUGGAUAAUUUUUUCUUUAUUUUUUGUUUUUUAUUAAUAUCUAAUUUUAUCACAUUUUUAUUUACAUUUUAUUUGAGCAUAUUGCAUUUAUUAUAAAUUUUGACACAAUUAUGGUUUGAUAUUGGAUCCAUUUAAUGUACCAUCACUAGUUAUAUAAAUAACAUUUAAUGUUUGAGUACAAGAAUAGAGUUUGAAAUAGGAAAAUAACAUAAAUAAUUUUAAAUAAAAUUGGUAAACAUAUUCCUUCUAAAAAAAAUCAUAAAAUAUAUAUAUAUAUAGUAAAAUAUCAUGUUAGCUAGGUAUUUGUAAAAAUUUAAGAUGUAGCCAUGGAAACUUACAAAUGAAAUAAAGAAUUUUGUUAAUUUAUAUUUAAAAAAUCUACUAAAAUUUUAUAUUUUAUAUUUUUUAAUUUAAAAUAAAUAAAUAUUUAGUUGAUAGAUUAAAUACUAAUAAUGCAAUAACAUCAACUUCAUUUGUUGUCCUAAGAGGUGAGGCUAACAAAGUUCCUAUGUUUGUUCAUAGAUUAAAAAUUGUCCAUGAAGCUUUUCUUAGUUGGUAAGAUGAAUAUCCAAAGCCUAAUAAAUAGGUUGUGUAAACAAGUAUAAUAUCUUCUAUAGUUUAAAAAAACUAAGUCAAAAUAGAAUGUUUAUUUGGUGUGUUUGGAUAUCAUUGUUGUAGUCUUAUAAUAAUGUAGUUACAUACUCCAAAAGGAAUAAAUGUCAUAGAUUAAACUAUUUUUUAUUUUUUAUUUAUCUUUCAUCUAUUAAGCAUAUUUUGAUUUAAAAAAUAAAAUAAAAUAAAAUAAAAUAAAAUAAAAAAGAAAGAUAAUUAAAAUCCUCUAUAUACUUAUAUGUUUACUUUUAUAAGUUUUGUUUUCUUCAUUGCACUUCAUUAAUACUUUAUUAAAUAUUAUUAUAUAAUAUAAUUUAUAAUUAUUGGACUCCAAAACUUAAAUUUCAUAUACCUUAACCUCUUAAAAUAUUCAGAUUAUAUAUUUUUCAUAUCAAUUAAAUUUUAAAGAUUCAAACUAAUAAUCAAAUCAGAUUUAAUAUAUAUAUAAUAAAAUAAACAACAACAACAACAACAACAACAACUUUUUGAAAUUAUUAUUUAAAACAUAUAUCCUACUUUACAAGAUUUAUUUUAAAAUUUAAAAUCUAUUAUAUCAAAUGGUUAAAGUAUCUAUAUGAAAUUCUAUGGAUUAUACAAUCAUAUUAUAAAAUAUGAUUUUUGUACAAUCUUAAUAAAUAUAUAUAUAUAUAUAUAUAUAUCUAUUCUAAUGGUGUCUAAUAAUGCCUUAGCAUCAUAAAAAAAAACUAUAUUGCACUUUAUGUCCCUUUAAUGAUAUUAGUUUGUGCUCCAAUUUAUGGAGUAUAAAAAAAAUAAGAAUGAUUUAUUGUUUGGUAGACAUAGUCUAAUCAUGCAAAUUGUUUUGUAACAUAAGCUCAUCAACAAUCAGUGAUGUUUGUUGGACAAAUUACAAUAGAUUCAAUGAUAAUUUAUUCUAUUAUUUGAUUGGAAACAUAAGCUAAUAACAACUUAUUUGAUCUCCACCUAAUUCUACCAAACAUCCAUUAACUUCUCAUCUUUGCUUUUCUAUCACAAUUAUUUUUUAAAAAUAUUUUUCAUCUAGUUCUAUUAUCUAUCUCUAUUGUCUAUUUUCUCUUAUUUUUACUUAUAAUUUCUAAAGUUUAUUAAUUUAAUAAAUUAACUUGGUUGAUCAAACUUAAUCAACCAAAUUAUAAUUUGAAGGAAUUGCAAGGUGAUAGUGUGUACAAACUUAAAUGUUUAGUUAACAACAACAAGACAUUAAGAUUUAGCUUAUUAUAAAAUUAACUAUAAAUUUUAAACUAUAUACAUAUUCUUGUAGACUUGAUUUUUCUUAAUCUCUUUUUGUUACUUUGCUAUAAAAAUAUUUUUAUUUUUUAUCUAUUAUUUUUUACUUAUUCAUAAGAUUUCUUACAAUAAACACAUUUUAUAAUUUAAGAAUAGAAUCCUAGCUUUGUUACCAUAUCCACAUAAUUUUCUACAUUAGAAGUUCCAACUAUAAAUACUCUCUAAUUUAAUGUUACAUGUAUUAUAAGAAAAACUAAACUAAAUCUAUAAGAGGGAGUAGGAAAAAUAAAAUAAAAUAAAGUAAGAAGAAGAAAAUGAAGAAAAAGCAAAAGAAAUUAUAAUUAUAAUUAUAAUAAUAAGAAAGAGAAUGACAAUUAAAGAUGGUGGUGGUACUAGCUUGUAAGAUUGUGUACUUAGUGGUAGCUUAGAAGGUUUAAGAACACUUCAACCAUACUGGUUUUAAUUGUUCAACCUAAAUUUGUUACUUGGAUGGGUGCAAAGUUCAAGGUGUAUGCAAAUUACAAAGUGGGUACAAGGUAGAUACAAAUUACAAGGAUUAAUGUUAUGUUUUAUAAAUAUAAGUAAAUGUUGUUGACUUUUUUCUUGCAACUGCAGAAUCCUCUUAGGAAAGGAUGUUGAAAUUCACAAUAUUGAAUAUGUCACAAAUAAACAACCAAUAAUGUAUUAUCACUUCUAAUCUAUCUACUUGUAGAAUAAAAACGAAUAUAAAUAUAAUGCACCCCAUAGAUGUGUUGGAUAUUCAUCAUGUCCUUUUGUGAAUAAUAAGAAAAGCAUGUGUUUAGUUAAACAUGGUGAUUUGGUCCACAAUCAUCCUAAAUUAUUCAAUAAUGGUUGGUUAGACCUAAGAAUUUGCAAACUUGUUCCAAAGAGUUGGCUAUCCAAAUUCAAUUGUAAAAUCUUAACAGAAUUUGCUUGACAGAAUUCGCAUUGGGUAUACCUCAUCAUUGAGUCAAUAAUAAUAAUACUUAGUGAUUUACACAGUUCCAUAGAAUAGAGUUUGCUAAUCCACACCAACAACCGAGGCGCACGGCGCCGACUCGUCGGCACACGCAGAUCGAUUCCGCAGAUGCUUGCCGACCUAGCAGCAUUGCACGAGUCGAUUGAGCAACGGAGUGGGACGCUAUAGCCACCGCAAGUAGACCCACGACGGUGGGUUCGAUCAGAAAAGCUGAAGAUUGGACCAGUUGCUGCGGACAAUGGUGGGUUUUUUGUUCGAGGUGUGCGUGGAUUCGCUUCACGGGGCCUUGGAAGCGCAGAGAGGAGGCGCAGGCCGAAUCGAGCUCUGCAGCAAUCUGGAUGUGGGUGGGUUAACGCCGAGCUACGGAUUGAUGAAGCUCGUGAGGAAGCGAAUUCAGGUUCCCGUCCAUGUACUCAUUCGGCCGCGAGCUGGGGACUUCGUGUACUCGGAACUGGAGGUGGAGAUCAUGGUUGCCGACAUCGGGGCGGUGGGGGAAUUAGGGUUACAAGGAGUAGCGAUCGGGGUGCUGACCGAGACGCACGAGAUCGACAUGAAAGUGAUGCGUGUCCUGCUGGACGAGUGCCGUCGCUACAAUCUCUCGGUCACCUUCCACCGCGCCUUCGAUUGCGUGCGCGCACCCUUGGAAGCGAUCAAGAUGGUGCAGUAUCUGGGGGACGUGUCGCGCGUUUUGACGUCGGGGCAGCAGCCGACGGCGGUGGAGGGGCUGCUUCUUCUGGGCGCGUUGAUGCAGGAGGCAGGGUCGAACGUUCUAAUUCUGCCCGGUGCUGGGAUCACGGAGGAGAAUGCGGCGCACAUCGCCAGUGAGCUGGGCGCAAUUGAGUUGCAUGGUAGCGUGCGCAAGGAGCUGGCCGUUUGUGCAUCGACCAACCUCCUUCCGGGUGACAAAAAUCGUGUGAUUUGGACAGUGGACGUAAAGAAGCUUCACACCAUUUACCACCGGUGUAGAACUUCUCUGAAAGUGGAUGACCUAUGUACUCGCGAUCCUCCCGAGGAGGACAAUUGUUAAUAUAGUGUUAAUAUAAUGCAAUUGUUAAUACAGUUUUUGCUCAAACUGGGUUUUCCCAACUACCCAGGUCCGAAUCCGCUUUGAAUUAGGUUGAUUUCUGGCUGGAGACGUUUUUUAACCAACUCGUGCUUUGGUUCACUCAUUCGUUUUGCAUGAUGAACCACUGCCUUGCAAUUGGCUGUGAGUCUAUGAUCUUCUGACGGACAGGUCAGCAUUCAACGAGAACACUUAAUUGGAGUGCAUUCUUUUCAUGCACUCAUCGUUGUCCAAAUCCGGUUGAUUUUUACAGAACAGAUGAUUUCUUAGAUGAUACUGCGCGGGAUCAUGUAGAGGCAACACACAGACGUAGAAAUCAUCAACUCUUGGACAAGACCCAGGAGCAUUCCUUGCCGCGACAAAUUUGUUCUUAGUGCCCAAUAACGAACUAUUCGAUGUUAACUGUGGAGUGUCUCUUUUUAGGGACGAAGGUGUGCAACUUGUAUACAAAUUGGCAUCCGGAAUGGGAGCCACCUAGCUGCAAGUUCAACAGUAGAAAACAAAAAUCGAUUACCAGUGUAGUCUGUCCGCUAUUCUUCUAAACCACCAAGUAUCAACAAAUGUCUUCUUUCUCUUCACGUCAAAAGGUAAUUCUAGAGAUGGCAACGCUGUUCUCUACUCUCUCCUGUACACUUACUUUCCGGUAGUGUGCAGUUUUCAUUGCACUCUGCUUGCCUUGAAUCUCGUAACAGAUGACCUUGGAAGUCAUGGCAGGUGGCGCUCAGAGGCCGUCUGUUUUGCGAGGAGAGAGCACUCUUAGGCCGUGGAUUAGCAUCUCGUCUCGAAGACAAGCUCGUGUUGGUCUCCCCCUGCGAGCACCACUCCUGGGCGCCACCGCUCCUUCGCCGUGGAAGACGCAGAUUGUCUGCCCUGCUGUGGGCUUGCCACAGGUUUUCAAACGUAUCCGCCAGCUGCGAUUUGUCGUCAUCUGCCAACGCCACCGACAACUUCAGUUCCUCUGAUUCAGCAAAAGAAUUAACGAGGUCAAUUCAACGUAGACUUGAACAAAUACUCAGUAGUCGCGAUAAAUGUAGGCCUUCCAAAUCUUUUCGUAACAGUAGAAUUCAAGAGUUACGUACAACCAUUUCCUUUGUGGACUGAGAAGGGUCUGGGAUUCGUCAGCUUUCUACAAUUCUCAGUUUCGUUACAAAGGUUAUUAUUCCAGUUGGAGCUCUGUCCCUGCAGCAAAAAAUCAAUCAAUGCUACCUUCAGCUGUCUUCGCAAUCUCCUCGUUGACUUGAAAUUUAUGACACAAACUCAAUUCAUCGAAUGAUUUAAGUUUUCGGCAGAUGUAAAGGUUUGUCUAAUUGACUCUUUCAAUUGAAUUUAAGGAACCUGCAGGUCUUACGGGAUCCCUGACAUCAAACAAAGAUGGAUCAUCUCCACCAGCGCCAGUCCACACCGGCCUUGCGGAUACCGGCCUCGACAUUUUCACAGAAUUUGCAAGCUUGGACUUCUCUGCAGGUUUACAGAGACGAAGUGGCACAUGAGUUCCUGCAUGUUCACCCCAAUUACUCGCUCAGAGAAAAUGAUGGUGAUUAUUUAACUCACGAGAACGUGCAGACGGUAUUCAUACUUAUUAUCGUAUUUUCUAAGCUAGCAAUGGAGACGACGGUAAAAAGAACAAUACCCACUUGCAUUGCCAUGCAUAGAUCCAGCUAUUGCGCCCGGAACCAGCCUGUUAGUGAGAGAAAUAGGAAUUAGUCCAGUCCCAGCAGGCUUCGCAGGAUUUACUGCUGUACAGCCUUUCUGGUGGUGCAAAUAGGGUUUGGGAAGGAACCGCCGCUGGCAGUGAUGACACUGCUGCAAAGUUUGCUCAAAUGCUUCUAAUGCCCUGCAUUUGCAUUUUCGAGCCUCAUGUCAAAGAUGUAUCAGAGUUCAUUAUUUCAUAUAUAAGAGCAAAAGGUUUCAACCCAAUGUUCAUUCGGUUGACGGAAUAUUAACUUCGUAGACUCCUGAUGUGGUGUUCCUCAAGGAAGAGAAACAUCGUCCCCAAGUCCAACCACCUCGCCUGAAUUGUUGUUAAGACCCCAAAUGCCGUCACGCAACUCUGACCUUGUUCGGCAAAAUUGUUGAGAAAUCCUGUCUAGUUACCUUGAAGCUCUUAGGAAAGUUGUAAUAUGUAGUGGUUGGAGUACGAUAGAGAAAAUACUCGCUGUUGAAGACAUCGAAAGCUUGGGCAUCACCAUUGCUGAUGGCUUUCUCGAGAUUAGGUUGAGGUGGCAAAGGGCGCCGAUGAUUCUUGGGCUUGUUCUCCUCUUCCAGUAGCCACUUCUUUUGGCAUUGUGGAAUGUGGAUUGGCAAACUGCGAUGCGUCAUACACGUUAGGGUUUGCUUUCUAAACGUUUUUGUAGAAUUCUUUAGCUUUACAUCAAAUGCGUGAGAAUGAUGACCUCUUGGUGCCAUAUUCGCGGCCACAAAGGUAGCACAUGAACAUGCGUGGCCUAUUACCAGGCCUGGAAGUCGCCCCUGACUCCAUAUCUUCCGAUUUCUGCUCUCGCACUCGUCUCAACUACGAAGAAACUCAGAAAAAUGUCCUACGCCUCAAUCGGGGCCUCUCAGUCCAAUCACUUGCACAUGCUCAGAGAAAAAUGAAAAACAUCUCAGCUACUGCGUUCAUUCCACAGCAGUUGACAUUCCAAGACGCAUCUGCAUGAAUCUCGACCAACGAAACAAGUCACGACGACUUUUAAAACUCCAUCACAUAGACAAUUGCGAAAUCGACGUUUAAUCCAAGAAUAACGCACUAAUCUGGCUCCAAAGGGAAGCAUGUCCAUAUACCCAAUCAAACCAUUAAAUGUAAUUCGCCUCUGAAUGAACGCUUGUGGUGAGAUUGUGACCGGGGCCUGAGGAAUAAAAACAACCUGAACAAAAUUCCAUUACAGACAUACAUCUACCACUUCAAUAGAACCACAUUCUGUUCCUGCGUCAGUGCUACUCAACCAUCUAGUACAAAUAAGUGUUAAGAAGAGGGUUGCAAGAAGGCCAUCAUAUACUUCAAGAAUUACGUCAUAUUCCAAACUCCACGCGCCUUCCACGACUCAGUUAAACAAAACUGCACAGGAAAUCAGGGUCUUUACUACUGAGGUACGAAACGACACUUUCAUCCCUUCUUCUCGGGACGUCCACUAACUACGAACUGUCAACACUAAAAACAAAUGAGGUUUACCUAUUCAAAUUCAUAUCCAAACUUCCUUCAACCAUGCAUCGGUCUUCACAAGGCUACGGAGUGCGUUACCCCCAUAACUAGGAGUAUUAAUGUGGACAAGUAGGGCCGCUUCAGUGCCUGAUUAACAUCAAUCUAUUCGAGUCACAGGACACAAGAGAAAUGGCAACGACAGAAACUUUCCAAGAGGGAAAUAAAGCACGCAUUAUUUUGACACAUACAAGAUACGAUGAUUCUCAGAUAAUAAAAUAAUGGACCGUCAUUCACUUUCUCAAAAAGCUCAUCCCAGAAUAGACAAUGAAGGAACCACACAAGUGCACGUCCCACACGAAGUACUGCACUGUAGGACUCUAUUUUCGAUCUAGGAUGAAGCGGGCGCCUUCUUGGGAGCGGCCUGGGUUCCUGUACCGUUUGGCGGAGGUUAGAACACGUGGCAUAUUUGGCAUUCAAAUGAGAACCCGCCCUGAGGCAGAACUCAAUAGCAAAUGAGAACAUAUAAAGCCACUGAAGUUGCAAAGAUGUGAAGAACAUGAAGUAACCAAAGAAGUUGCAAAGAUGUGAAGAAAGCAUCCCCAGCAAAAACUAUCAUUCAUGUCGAGAAUUAUUUUUCAAUAUCUGAUGAUGAGAAACAAGACAUCGGGUAAAACGCAGCAAGUACGAGAGCAUUACUGAUUCAGGGGUAGUAAAGAAAAUGAGUGCGUUGAAGAGUACGUACCCUCUCUGAAAUUGUUAGAGAACCUGCGGGGAAGAUGGCGAAGGUGACGCAUGCGUCCCGUUCCAGUUGUCUUUCUCCUAAUAGCCUUCACGCUCCAGUUAUCUGAAGCAUCUUUGGAGUCAGAUGUGUGUAAUAUACGAGAAAAUACCAUUGUAUGACCAGUGCUAAGGAAGAUGUCGGCUCAACAUGAGACCCUCCAUCCUCUGACCGUUAUGUUAUAAGAAUCGGUUGCAUCUUGAGAGUAAAAAAUCGAGAAUCCAUCUAAAUCCCUAUAACUUUCAUCGAUAUUUCAAACACACUAAAUUGCGGAGAAGAAUAUGGGUUCUAAGUUAUAUUGAUGUCGCAUUACAGAACUUUUCCAGCGGACCAGAGGGCUAGCAGUUAAAUACUAUUGGGCCACAGAUUCGCUGCACCGAUUUCUCGUACAUCUUGAGACGACGUAUUCCGAGAUGAUUUCUGGUAACAAAAAUGUGAGUAACUUGAAACAAAAAAAUACGACAAAUAGAGUGGUUCACAUACAGCUUCGGACUCUUGCAGCGGGGUAGGCACAUGCUGAGCACCGGCUCUUCUGAAUGUGAAAGCUCCGACGCCCACAUCGCCGACAAAGUGUGUGCGAUUUGUUUCGGCGCUUACCGAAACUACCCGUUCCCUUCGUCUGCACGUUCACACAAACGACCGAACUCAAUUUUCUCUUCCCAACGCAUCUUCAUAGAAACCAGUCUCAGCGCACCACCUUUUCUUUUACACAAUCAGCUCACACCUCAAAGAAAUUUUAUACUCCAGUCUAUAGGAUUCCUCACCGUACACGAUCCUACACACACUGCCCCACGCCUGUGAACCAAAGUGCAAAACUCAAUCACACCUCGAUAUCCACAACCAAGAUCUGGUGGCGUGACUUCCAUGCGAGAAUCUAAACGAGAAUCUGAUCCUAGAAUCAAUGCUCUCUGAUCGCGAAAAUAAACAUCCCUCAACAACAUACCAAUGCGUGAACUAUGUAACAUGUCUACCCUAAGGAGGAUGACGACGACAACAACAACUCACCCAUUAGGGUUUCAUGGGAAAAUCGCAAUUCACAACGGGACCAGGUGCGAGAAGCAACAAACGAAAGAACACAAAUGCCGCAAUACAACAAGAAUGCCAGAAAGCAAGGAAACGCACCAUGUUGGAAGGCGGCUGUGAGAACAAUGCGAGAGCUACUUUGGGAAAGGACGUCAGAAUGUGAAGGUCUAGGGUUUAUGCCCUCCGACGUUGACAACAAACUGGUUCCCGAUGAGGUACCCGAUGUGGUUCCCGAUGCGGUUCUCAAUGAACCCACCUCUAGAGUAUGAAAGCUCGCCGAAAUCCAAGGACAUUUAUCAUCCUGAACUAUGAAUGCCGAUAUUCAUUAAUCCAGAAACCCUGAUUUCUUUUUAAAUGAUAUCUUAACUCGACGAUUUGUAAUACGUGUACAAGAAAGAUAAUCAUGAUAUCAUUAUUUUUAAAAGUUUUGAACGUACCUGUUUUAACACAUAAGAUUUGUAACAUUAGCAACAUGUUUCAAAUAUAAAUGUAAUCUCAAGGUGAAAUAGAUUUAAACAACCUUUAAUAACAACAAAGAAUAGCAUUCAAAUUUCGAAUAUAUUUCUCAAUAACUACAUGUAUGUAUUUAUAUACAUGUAUCUAUGACAUAUGCAUAUACAUAUGUGUACAUACAUAUACAUGUCAUAGAUACAUUUUUGGUAUUGCUGUUUUUAAAGACAUUCAAUUACAUAAUAAUAAUCAUCAUCGUCAUCAUUAUAAUAACCACUGAAGGAAUGAGUGUGUUUGAAUUGAUUAAACGUGAAAUUAAUCAUUUCAAAUAAUAAGUUAUAGAUUUGACAAGGAAAAUGAUUAAUAUGAAUAUGAAGUUGAUGUUACUGUUUAAGCAUUAUCAAAAUCCUUUAGUCAGGGCAGGACUAAUAUUUCAAAUUCUCAGAACUGCAUCAUUGGGUAAUAAUUAUUAUUUUUUUCUUUCUCACUGUGAAAAAUAACUUGUCAAAUACAUUCCCUAUAAAAAAGUCGUUAGUGCAGGCACAUCCCCUAACUGAAAUGCUAGUCGCUUGUUUGUUCCUUAAACAUUGCAUGCGAGUUUCAAUAAGCGUUAGAUCCAGAUUUCCCACUUGAUCGACGAAUGAAACAAUUACUCGUUAGAAUACGAGAGACAUCCAAGUUGGACGGGCGGGGAUUUUGGGACGUCGACCUGGACUGACCCGGCCCGGCCCUUCGAAUGUUGACAAUCUGGAACCCUAAUUCGCAAUUUCGAGAAAUAUAAGAGAAGCAACUCCCGUAGUCGAAGACAGUAUCGUUGCACUUCGAGUCCCGAUGCGCGGCGCCGUUUAUUAUUCUCGUGUUGUGCAUGUUCUAGUGCAGAUCUGUGACUUCCAUUCCCUGCAUUAGGGCUAUCCACGCAUUUCUUUGUGUCUGUUAGAAUUGGUACUUCGAGCUCCUUUGUUGUUACAGUGAGUGCUUUGGCUGCGAGGCGUUGCCACUUUGUCUCAUUUAACGGAGUGGGUGUCGGCUGAAGCUAAGAUUACAUUAGACCCCAGCCUCAAACCAAUGCCUGCUCCAUCCAUGAGCGUGUGUUGACCUGUCUACUGGGACAUUUUUCAUGCUUUUCAGUCUAGUGUCUAAUGCGUUUCUUCUAUCGCUCGCAUUCUCCCUGACUCAGCGUCGCUGCUCUAUCCUUGAAGCAAUGCUCGUCGGACCACAUGUUUCAUGUGCAUACUGGAGGAUGCGUACAGGGAUCUCGGUGGGUGAAUUAGUUAGCAUCCGAGAGUGGGUGCCGACUCCAGACCCCGCUGUAAAUUAUUUUUUCUCAGAGUUCUAGUUGAGAGUGGGGCUUAAGUUGGGUGUGAGGAGAGGUUUUUCAAGCCUCUCAUGUUUCACAGAUCAUCAUGAGGCUCCGAAGAUUAACCAUUCUGCCAAAGUCUGCUGGAUAGAGAAAGAUGUAAUUUUCUUCGGGCAGACUCAGGCACACAUGUUAUCUCAAGAGAGCAAGAUAAUAACAACAUACUUUCUUGUUUCCAAUGAUGGCAGCUACUUCCUCAACAGAUUCGCCUCUGCCAUAAGAAUGUUCAAGAGGACAAAGCCUAAGAUAUAAUGCACUUCGAAAGUACAUGGAAACCCUAAUCUCGGAGGACCUACGCCUACCCAAUUCAAUUUACCCAAUGAAUUCCAUAGAAUCCAUCAUGGUUACUCUAAGUACGGUCGGUUUACAGAAUCUUACUACCUUUCAUUCUUCGUCUGAUAAUGUUGAUGGAAAAUAUACCAACUACUUAAAGCAAGGACAUAGUGCAGUCAAUGUUUGCGUCUGUAAUAAAGGUUACAUUUCAGAGUCAUCUUCGUAAUUGACCUUAAA
rnacentral:lncRNA from 1 species